rnacentral:rRNA from 1 species
CCUACGGGUGGCAGCAGUGGGGAAUAUUGCACAAUGGGGGGAACCCUGAUGCAGCGACGCCGCGUGAGUGAAGAAGUAUUUCGGUAUGUAAAGCUUUAUCAGCAGGGAAGAAAAUGACGGUACCUGACUACGAAGCCCCGGCUAACUACGUGCCAGCAGCGGCGGCAAUACGUAGGGGGCAAGCGUUAUCCGGAUUUACUGGGUGUAAAGGGAGAGUAGACGGCUGUGCAAGUCUGGAGUGAAUGGCGUGGGCCCAACCCCCGGACUGCUCUGGAAACUGUAAAGCUGGAGUGCAGGAGAGGUAAGCGGAAUUCCUAGUGUAGCGGUGAAAUGCGUAGAUAUUAGGAGGAACACCAGUGGCGAAGGCAGCUUACUGGACUGCAACUGACGUUGAGGCUCGAAAGCGUGGGGAGCAAACAGGAUUAGAUACCCCUGUAGUC